GUCGGCAGCUAGGUCUCUGCAACUCGCACAUAGUCACCCACAGAAGCUAAGCAGGGCUGCGCCCGGUCAGUAACUUGAUAGGAGACCACAUGGGAAAGCUAGGUUGCUGCCAGAA
ensembl:rRNA 5S_rRNA 5S ribosomal RNA